UUUUUGUCAGUAGUUUAAAACAUAAGCUUAUAACAUUUUGUUCUAUCGGUAGCGUUUGCAUGGAGAAAAGAAGACAUUGUCCGCAAGGAAAGAAACGUUCAAGAAACACGUUCAGAGGCUGUCUUCACUCUACGAUGCCACAAAGAG